UACGGCCAUAUCAUAUUGAAACAUUGGUUCUCAUUCGAUCACCAAAGUUAAACGAGGUUGAGCUUGUUCAGUAUUUAGAUGAGUCACCGUUUAGGAAUACUG